GCGCCUGGGACUCGAGACAGUCGCAGGUUCAAUUAGCUAAACAAAGAAAUCAUGGCGGAUUGUUUACAUUUGGCAGCGCCUGGGCUGCACAGAACCGCCGGCCCGAGCCACGCGGCCCCGGAGGAGCUGGCCGAGCUGCCCCAGCGCCCUGGCCGGGACAAAGAGAAAUAGAGAGAGAAGUGAAAGAGAGAGGGAUUGAGAACAAGAGGUACCUGUACCACUGCCUCACUGUACAUGAAAUUUCCUUUCUUCUUGAACAUGGGAUCAGAAGCUUGAACAUGGAUCCUCACACAUGAUAACAGAAAUCUGAAGCUAUUAAGCUGCCCAAAAACACCUGACUGCCAGUCUAGAACGUGACUCUAAGGUAAUAAUUGUGAUUUUUUUUUCCAUUUUUAGAGAUUUUUCAAAAUUUCCAUUGUUCUCAAUCAGUGUAAACUUUUGGACCAUUUAUGGAAUGAUUUUUUUUCUCAGUAUAACACCUAUA